GUAACAUUUUCAACURCAAAACAAACAAAUGCCAUAAGUUAAAGUAAUUUGCAUUUAAUUUUAGUAAUUYCACCAAUCACAAAUCUUAMWWACCUGCCAGWKCGACAGCUGUGCUUCAUUUGGCAAGAAAAUGCGUCCUUUCAAUGCCGGCGAUUGCCUGAAGCCAGUCGGGAGCUCCAUCAACCGCGCCUUCGGCAACAAAGAGCCCUGGCAGAUCGCAGCGAUUACGGC